rfam:TPA: Bos taurus chromosome 6, whole genome shotgun sequence.
UCCCUGGUGGUCCAGUGGUUAAGACUCUGUACUUCUACAGCAGGGGCAUAGGUAUGAUUCCUGGUCAGGGAA